rnacentral:pre_miRNA from 1 species
AAAGUAUUCCCUCCGUUUCAUAAUUCUUGUCUCAAAUUUGCCCCAAAAUGGAUGUAUCGAUCUAUUCCUAAAAAAUAUCUAGAUACAUGUAAUAUUUUGACAAGAAUUAUGGAACGGAGGGAGUAUCUA